AUGUCUCCGUACUUGGUCCUGGUCGCCGCGCUCGUCGCCUGUAGCUGUGUCGCCAUCAGGAAGGCUCGAGGCAGCAGCGGCAAGUUCCCGCCGUCGCCGCCGUCGCUUCCGCUGGUCGGUCACCUCCACCUCAUGGGCGGCGUGCUGCACCGCUCCCUGCUCGAGCUGCACGCUCGGUACGGCAGCGAUGGUGGCCUCCUGCUCCUGCAGCUCGGGCGCAGGCGGACGCUGGUGGUGUCCACGGCGGCGGCGGCGGCCGAUCUUUAUAAGAACCACGACCUCGCCUUCGCCUCCCGUGUGCACAGCGCGGUGGUGGACAAGCUGACAUACGGCUCCAUCAGCGUCUCCUUCGCCCCCUACGGCGACGCCUGGCGCCGCUGCAAGAAGAUGGCCGUCGUGCACCUCCUCUCCCAGCGCCGCGCCGACUCGUUCGCCCCCGUGCGCGCCGCCGAGGCGGCCGCCCUCGUCGCAGGAGCCCGCCGCGGCGCGGAGGCGGGUGAGGCCGUGGAGCUUAGGGAGCUCCUGUACGGCUACAGCAAUGCGGUGGUCACCCGCGCGGCCACCGGCGCCGCGGGGGCCACGGCGGAGAAGAUCAAACAGCUUUUGGGGAACUCCGCGGCGGUCAUGUCGGGGCUCCAGGCGGAAGACGUGCUCCCCGACGCGCCGGCGAAGGUGGUUAGGCGGGCGACGGGGUUCGAGAAGAGGCUCGACGCCGAGGUCGAAGCGUGGGACAAAUUCCUAUCCGAGAUAGUCGCCGAGCACCUUGAGGAGAAGCCAGACAACGGCGCGGGGGAGGAGAACUUCCUGGACGUCCUGCUGCGGCUGAGGGGAGAAGGCACCGCCGGGCUCGAGCUCACCGACGACCGCAUCAAAAGCAUCGUCAAGGACAUGAUAGCCGCCGGAACAGAGACAUCAUCCGUCACGUUGGAAUGGGCCAUGGUGGAGCUCGUCGGGAACCCAAGGGCAAUGGCCAAGCUGCAGGACGAGAUAGCUCGAGUCACCGCCGGCAAGCCGACCAUCGAGGAAGACGACCUGAGCAGGAUCGAGUACCACAAGGCGGUGUUGAAGGAGGUGCUCCGGCUCCACCCGCCGGCACCGCUCCUCCUCCCGCACGAGUCGACGACGGCUGCGGUCGUCCAGGGCUACGAGGUCCCUGCGAAGACGGCGCUCUUCAUCAACGCGUGGGCCAUUGGGAGGGACCCCGCGGCGUGGGGUGACGAGGCAGAGGAGUUCCGGCCGGAGCGGUUCUUGGGCGGCGGCAGCACGACGGGCGUGGACGUGAGGGGGAACGACUACCAGCUCCUCCCGUUCGGCGCCGGCCGGCGGAUCUGCCCCGCCAUAAACUUCGCGCUGCCGGUGCUAGAGAUGGCGCUCGCCAGCCUCGUGCGCCACUUCGACUGGGAGCUCCCCGCCGGGACGCGUCUGGACAAGGGCGAGGCGCCGGGGAUGAGCACGCCGCCGCUGACCCCACUGCGUCUAGUCCCCAGGUGCAGGACGCUUGCUUAA
rnacentral:rRNA from 1 species